rnacentral:sRNA from 1 species
GGUUCAAGCAAUUCUUCUGCCUCAGCUAAUUUUUGUUUUUGAGACAGAGUCUCUCUCCAUCGCCCAGGCUGGAGUGCAGUGGUGCGAUCUCAGCUUACUGCAACCUCCGCCUCCUAGGCUCAAGCAAUUUUCCUGCCUCAGUCUCCCACGUAGCUGGGAUUACAGGGUGAUGAAGGUACAAGUCAGACAUCUUUGGAAACACCAAACAGAGAAGCAGCAAAGAGCCAGAACUUGCCUAAACCUUUAACUGAAUUUCCAUCUCCUGCUGAACAGCCCAUGUGCAAUGAGAUUCCUGAUUUACCUGAAGAACCUUCUCAAACAGCAGAAGUAGUUACUGUUGCUCUCCGAUGUCCCAGUGGGAAUGUCCUGAGGAGAAGGUUUUUGAAGUCCUACGGCUCACAGGUCUUAUUUGACUGGAUGACGAGAAUUGGGUACCACACAUCUCUAUACAGCCUUUCUACUUCCUUUCCCAGACGGCCUCUGGCAGUGGAGGGAGGCCAGUCGCUGGAGGACAUAGGAAUAACUGUGGACACUGUACUCAUCCUGGAGGAGAAGGAGCAGACCAACUAGGAAAGAAGGGCAAGCUCCCUGUUUGCAUGCAGUCAGUCAUGCCAUGACCUUCUGGCACAAUAAAGGCUUCACUUUCAAAUC